rnacentral:rRNA from 1 species
ACGCUGGCGGCGUGCCUAAUACAUGCAAGUCGAGCGAACGGACGAGAAGCUUGCUUCUCUGAUGUUAGCGGCGGACGGGUGAGUAACACGUGGAUAACCUACCUAUAAGACUGGGAUAACUUCGGGAAACCGGAGCUAAUACCAGAUAAUAUUUUGAACCGCAUGGUUCAAAAGUGAAAGACGGUCUUGCUGUCACUUAUAGAUGGAUCCGCGCUGCAUUAGCUAGUUGGUAAGGUAACGGCUUACCAAGGCAACGAUGCAUAGCCGACCUGAGAGGGUGAUCGGCCACACUGGAACUGAGACACGGUCCAGACUCCUACGGGAGGCAGCAGUAGGGAAUCUUCCGCAAUGGGCGAAAGCCUGACGGAGCAACGCCGCGUGAGUGAUGAAAGUCUUCGGAUCGUAAAACUCUGUUAUUAGGGAAGAACAUAUGUGUAAGUAACUGUGCACAUCUUGACGGUACCUAAUCAGAAAGCCACGGCUAACUACGUGCCAGCAGCCGCGGUAAUACGUAGGUGGCAAGCGUUAUCCGGAAUUAUUGGGCGUAAAGCGCGCGUAGGCGGUUUUUUAAGUCUGAUGUGAAAGCCCACGGCUCAACCGUGGAGGGUCAUUGGAAACUGGAAAACUUGAGUGCAGAAGAGGAAAGUGGAAUUCCAUGUGUAGCGGUGAAAUGCGCAGAGAUAUGGAGGAACACCAGUGGCGAAGGCGACUUUCUGGUCUGUAACUGACGCUGAUGUGCGAAAGCGUGGGGAUCAAACAGGAUUAGAUACCCUGGUAGUCC